UACGGGGGGGGCAAGCGUUGUUCGGAAUUACUGGGCGUAAAGGGCUCGUAGGCGGCCAACUAAGUCAGACGUGAAAUCCCUCGGCUUAACCGGGGAACUGCGUCUGAUACUGGAUGGCUGGAGUUUGGGAGAGGGAUGCGGAAUUCCAGGUGUAGCGGUGAAAUGCGUAGAUAUUCGCAAGAACACCAGUGGCGAAGGCGGCUCACUGGCCCGUAACUGACGCUGAGGCGCGAAAGCCAGGGGAGCGAACGGG
rnacentral:rRNA from 1 species